CCUACGGGUGGCAGCAGUGAGGAAUAUUGCUCAAUGGCCGGAAGGCUGAACCAGCCAAGCCGCGUGAAGGACGAAGGUGCCAAGCAUUGUAAACUUCUUUUGUCAAGGGACAAAAUCAGGCUCGAGAGCCUGACCGAGGGUACUUGAAGAAAAAGCAUCGGCUAACUCCAGGCCAGCAGCGGCGGUAAUACGGGGGAGGCGAGGGUUAUCCGGAUGUAUGGGGGUGAAAGGGUGCGUAGGCGAGCUGUUAAGUCAGCGGUAAAAGCCCGGGGCUCAACCCCGGCGAGCCGUUGAAACUGGCUGUCUGGAGAUGUCGAGAGGUAUGCGGAAUGCGCAGUGUAGCGGUGAAAUGCGUAGAGAUUGCGCAGAACUCCGAUUGCGAAGGCAGCAUACCGGCGGCGAUCUGACGCUGAGGCACGAAAGCGUGGGUAGCGAACAGGAUUAGAUACCCUUGUAGUC
rnacentral:rRNA from 1 species